GAUCAUUACUGAGUUUACGCUCUAUAACCCUUUGUGAACAUACCUAUAACUGUUGCUUCGGCGGGUAGGGUCUCCGCGACCCUCCCGGCCUCCCGCCCCCGGGCGGGUCGGCGCCCGCCGGAGGAUAACCAAACUCUGAUUUAACGACGUUUCUUCUGAGUGGUACAAGCAAAUAAUCAAAACUUUUAACAACGGAUCUCUUGGUUCUGGCAUCGAUGAAGAACGCAGCGAAAUGCGAUAAGUAAUGUGAAUUGCAGAAUUCAGUGAAUCAUCGAAUCUUUGAACGCACAUUGCGCCCGCCAGCAUUCUGGCGGGCAUGCCUGUUCGAGCGUCAUUUCAACCCUCAAGCUCUGCUUGGUGUUGGGGCCCUACAGCUGAUGUAGGCCCUCAAAGGUAGUGGCGGACCCUCCCGGAGCCUCCUUUGCGUAGUAACUUUACGUCUCGCACUGGGAUCCGGAGGGACUCUUGCCGUAAAACCCCCAAUUUUCCAAAGGUUGACCUCGGAUCAGGUAGGAAUACCCGCUGAACUUAAGCAUAUCAAUAAGCGGAGGAAAAGAAACCAACAGGGAUUGCCUCAGUAACGGCGAGUGAAGCGGCAACAGCUCAAAUUUGAAAUCUGGCCCUAGGCCCGAGUUGUAAUUUGCAGAGGAUGCUUUUGGUGCGGUGCCUUCCAAGUUCCCUAGAACGGGACGCCAGAGAGGGUGAGAGCCCCGUACAGUUGGACACCAAGCCUUUGUAAAGCUCCUUCGACGAGUCGAGUAGUUUGGGAAUGCUGCUCAAAAUGGGAGGUAUAUUUCUUCUAAAGCUAAAUACCGGCCAGAGACCGAUAGCGCACAAGUAGAGUGAUCGAAAGAUGAAAAGCACUUUGAAAAGAGGGUUAAACAGCACGUGAAAUUGUUAAAAGGGAAGCGCUUGUGACCAGACUUGCGUCCGGUGAAUCACCCAGCUCUCGCGGCUGGGGCACUUCGCCGGCUCAGGCCAGCAUCAGCUCGCUGUCGGGGACAAAAGCUUCAGGAACGUAGCUCUCUUCGGGGAGUGUUAUAGCCUGUUGCAUAAUACCCUUCGGCGGGCUGA
rnacentral:misc_RNA from 1 species